UGGGGAAUAUUGGACAAUGGGCGCAAGCCUGAUCCAGCCAUACCGCGUGGGUGAAGAAGGCCUUCGGGUUGUAAAGCCCUUUUGUUGGGAAAGAAAUCCAGCCGGCUAAUACCUGGUUGGGAUGACGGUACCCAAAGAAUAAGCACCGGCUAACUUCGUGCCAGCAGCCGCGGUAAUACGAAGGGUGCAAGCGUUACUCGGAAUUACUGGGCGUAAAGCGUGCGUAGGUGGUCGUUUAAGUCCGUUGUGAAAGCCCUGGGCUCAACCUGGGAACUGCAGUGGAUACUGGGCGACUAGAGUGUGGUAGAGGGUAGCGGAAUUCCUGGUGUAGCAGUGAAAUGCGUAGAGAUCAGGAGGAACAUCCAUGGCGAAGGCAGCUACCUGGACCAACACUGACACUGAGGCACGAAAGCGUGGGGAGCAAA
rnacentral:rRNA from 1 species